UUGGAGGGCAAGUCUGGUGCCAGCAGCCGCGGUAAUUCCAGCUCCAAUAGCGUAUAUUAAAGUUGUUGCAGUUAAAAAGCUCGUAGUUGAAUUUCGGGGUUAGUAGGUUGGUCAUGCCUCUGGUAUGUACUGGUCUCACUGACUCCUCCUUCCUGAUGAGCCGUAAUGCCAUUAAUUUGGUGUUGCGGGGAAUUUGGACUGUUACUUUGAAAAAAUUAGAGUGUUUAAAGCAAGCUAACGCUUGAAUACAUUAGCAUGGAAUAAUGAAAUAGGACGUUCGAUCCUAUUUUGUUGGUUUCUAGGAUUGACGUAAUGAUUAAUAGGGAUAGUUGGGGGCAUUAGUAUUCAAUUGUCAGAGGUGAGAUUCUUGGAUUUAUUGAAGACUAACUACUGCGAAAGCAUUUGCCAAGGAUGUUUUCAUUAAUCAAGAACGAAAGUUAGGGGAUCGAAGACGAUCAGAUACCGUCGUAGUCUUAACCAUAAACUAUGCCGACUAGGGAUCGGAUGAUGUUAAUUUUUUAAUGACUCAUUCGGCGCCUUACGGGAAAC
rnacentral:rRNA from 1 species